rnacentral:rRNA from 1 species
GAUGAACGCUGGCGGCGUGCCUAAUACAUGCAAGUCGAGCGAACAGAUGAGGAGCUUGCUCCUCUGCCGUUAGCGGCGGACGGGUGAGUAACACGUGGAUAACCUACCUAUAAGACUGGGAUAACUUCGGGAAACCGGAGCUAAUACCGGAUCAUAUAUUGAACCGCAUGGUUCAAUAGUGAAAGACGGUUUUGCUGUCACUUAUAGAUGGAUUCGCGCCGCAUUAGCUAGUUGGUAAGGUAACGGCUUACCAAGGCAACGAUGCGUAGCCGACCUGAGAGGGUGAUCGGCCACACUGGAACUGAGACACGGUCCAGACUCCUACGGGAGGCAGCAGUAGGGAAUCUUCCGCAAUGGGCGAAAGCCUGACGGAGCAACGCCGCGUGAGUGAUGAAGGUCUUCGGAUCGUAAAACUCUGUUAUUAGGGAAGAACAAAUGUGUAAGUAACUAUGCACGUCUUGACGGUACCUAAUCAGAAAGCCACGGCUAACUACGUG